rnacentral:rRNA from 1 species
ACAUGCAAGUCGAGCGGGGAACAUUGAAAGCUUGCUUUAUUGGGCGUCGACCGGCGCACGGGUGCGUAACGCGUAUCCAACCUGCCCCCAACUCCGGAAUAGUCCCCCGAAAGGGGGUUAACGCCGGAUGCUCCGACAUGACGCAUGUCGUGUUGGGAAAGAUUCAUCGGUAUGGGAUGGGGUCGCGUCCUAUCAGGUAGUCGGCGGGGUAACGGCCCACCGAGCCUACGACGGGUAGCCGGCCUGAGAGGGCGACCGGCCACAUUGGGACUGAGAUACGGCCCAGACUCC